GAAAUGCGAUAAGUAAUGUGAAUUGCAGAAUUCAGUGAAUCAUCGAAUCUUUGAACGCACAUUGCGCCCGCCAGUAUUCUGGCGGGCAUGCCUGUUCGAGCGUCAUUUCAACCAUCAAGCCCCCGGCUUGUGUUGGGGACCUGCGGCUGCCCGCAGGCCCUGAAAAACAGUGGCGGGCUCGCUGUCACACCGAGCGUAGUAGCAUACAUUCUCGCUCAGGGCGUGCUGCGGGUCCCGGCCGUUAAACGACCUUCAUAACCCAAGGUUGACCUCGGAUCAGGUAGGUAGACCCGCUGAACUUAAGC
rnacentral:misc_RNA from 1 species